CGGAAGGUUCGGGCGUUAUCCGGAUUUAUUGGGUUUAAAGGGGAGCGUAGGCCGUUUGGUAAGCGUGUUGUGAAAUGUAGGAGCUCAACUUCUAGAUUGCAGCGCGAACUGUCAGACUUGAGUGCGCACAACGUAGGCGGAAUUCAUGGUGUAGCGGUGAAAUGCUUAGAUAUCAUGAAGAACUCCGAUUGCGAAGGCAGCUUACGGGAGCGCAACUGACGCUGAAGCUCGAAGGUGCGGGUAUCGAACAGGAUU
rnacentral:rRNA from 1 species